GGCCUCGUUGCUCAGUUGGCUAGAGUGUUGGCUGUUCUUAAACCUUCUCAUUGCCGGCGUGUGUUCGAAUCCCACUGAGGCCG
rnacentral:tRNA from 1 species